rnacentral:lncRNA from 1 species
GAUGAUGUUUACUUCAGAGACGCUGUUGUAAUUCCUGUUUGGAAACCUGGACAUUUCUUGUUAUCUAAACCUUUGUCAGUCUCUCAGCCCUGGGCCAUGGAAAGAGACGACUGGUUUGGACAUCGAGGGCUUUCCACGGCAAAAGUAUGGCAUCGACUGUGGCAUCUCCAUGUUGAUGUAUGCCCUUUACAAAGUCAUGGAUGCACCCUUUGACUUCACUGUUACUGAUAUGCCAUCGUUGAGAAAAUGGUGGUGUAUCAUGCUGAUUGAAAAUCUUGACCUUGGAAGCCAUGGCAAACUCUUUGCCCACUGGACUGACACAUCUAAGGCUCUUCUUCGGGGUGAGGUGCCACCAGUUUUUAAACUGAAGAAGAGAAGGCGAGAUGACAUUCAUGAGGGGCCACUUGACAACAUUGUAGCUGGAGUUGCCUGGCUGCGUCAGAAUGCAGGUUUGCUCAGGGGGAAGGUGGUUGAGCCCGCAUUUCCGAAUAUCGACGCAAAAGAACAGCAGGAGCUCCUGAAAAGGAUCCGUUCUUCAACUGAUGAAGAAGAAAAGCAUCCCCUGCUCUUCACAUUUGAUUUUCAGGAAGACAUGGAGGUCUUCCUUAACAUGGCAGCUGAGGAGGAUCUUCGGGUCAACGCCAUGUUUCUGGGUCGCUGGGUGGACAGCCAGUGACAUUGCUGUGUGUGUGUGUGUGUGUGUGUGUGUGUGUGUGUGUGUGUGUGUGUGUGUGUGUGUGUGUGUGUGUGUGUGUGUGUGUGUGUGUGUGUGUGUGUGUGUGUGUGUGUGUGUGUGUGUUGAGGUUCUGAGUUCAGUUAUCUGUUGUGUUCUUAAUAAAGUGUUAUAACGUUUACAAUGUAUUGAUUUUUUGUAUUACUUUACUUAUUCACUUUGGUUACACACAGAGCUAAGUUAAAACACAGACUUGAGUUUGUCGUAUUUAAAUAUGGGCAAAUAAGGUGGUCCCGCAGCACAAGGUAAGACAAUAUUAUAGACAAUUAGAGCCAGAUAUUAAAUGAAUGAUGGUUCAGAGUAAGAAUUUAGGAAUGCAAAAGUGCUAAUAACAUAUGAUAAAUUAUGUUGGAAUGCAGUCGAACCUUAUGAUAUUAAGACAACAGAAUGUAACAUAGCUAGACCUAAUAUAAAUAUGUCAGAAAAGGUGAAGCUAAAGGGGAAUUGUUCUAUCUAUUCCUGUUCACUCAUACAUAGUAUUUAAAAUAAUUAUUAGCCUCAAUCUCUGAUGCCCUUCAACUUUAAUAACGAGU